rnacentral:rRNA from 1 species
AAACCAACAGGGAUUGCCUUAGUAACUGCGAGUGAAGCGGCAAGAGCUCAAAUUUGAAAUCUGGCACCUUCGGUGUCCGAGUUGUAAUUUGUAGAAGCAUCUUUUGGAUUGGUCCUUGCAUAUGUUCCUUGGAACAGGACAUCAUAGAGGGUGAGAAUCCCGUUCAUGGUGGGGAAUCCAAUUCUUUGUAAAGUGCUUUCGAAGAGUCGAGUUGUUUGGGAAUGCAGCUCUAAGUGGGUGGUAAAUUCCAUCUAAAGCUAAAUAUUGGCGAGAGACCGAUAGCGAACAAGUACAGUGAUGGAAAGAUGAAAAGAACUCCGAAAGGAGAGUGAAAAAGGACGUGAAAUUGUUGAAAGGGAAGUGCUUGAGAUCAGUCUUAAGGUUUAGUGAUCAGUCUUCCUUUUGGUUGGUGCACUCACUAUUUCUUAGGCCAACAUCAGUUUUGGCGGCAGGAAAAUGACAUUGGAAUGUGGCUCUUUCGGGAGUGUUAUAGCCUUUGUUGAUACUGCCUGCUUAGACUGAGGACUGCGCUUUUGCUAGGAUGUUGGCAUAAUGAUCUUAAGCAGC